UCAUCGUCGAAACCGGAAGUGACGUCACGGACUCGUCUGCGUUCCAGUGAGGUUGUCUCCAUAGCAACCGGAUGUGAUAGUUUCCUUUAUAUUAUACACACUGUGGCUAUCACAUCCGGUUGCUAUGGAGACAACAUCACUGGAACACACAUUGGAACGCAGACGAGUCCGUGACGUCACUUCCGGUUUCGGCGAUGA